rnacentral:rRNA from 1 species
AACGAACGCUGGCGGCAGGCUUAACACAUGCAAGUCGAACGCCCCGCAAGGGGAGUGGCAGACGGGUGAGUAACGCGUGGGAACGUGCCCUUCGCUUCGGAAUAGCCCCGGGAAACUGGGAGUAAUACCGAAUACGCCGUAUUGGGAAAGGUUUAUCGGCGAAGGAUCGGCCCGCGUUAGAUUAGCUAGUUGGCGGUGUAAUGGACCACCAAGGCUACGAUCUAUAGCUGGUCUGAGAGGAUGAUCAGCCACACUGGGACUGAGACACGGCCCAGACUCCUACGGGAGGCAGCAGUGGGGAAUCUUGGACAAUGGGCGCAAGCCUGAUCCAGCCAUGCCGCGUGAGUGAAGAAGGCCUUAGGGUUGUAAAACUCUUUCGCCGGAGAAGAUAAUGACGGUAUCCGGAGAAGAAGCCCCGGCUAACUUCGUGCCAGCCGCCGCGGUAAUAC